CGGCGUCAGUGGGUGCUUCUCCACCUUCCAGCCCACCACAGGCCACCGUCUCUGCAGCGUUCACUUCCAGGGCGGCCGCAAGACCUACACGGUACGCGUCCCCACCAUCUUCCCGCUGCGCGGCGUCAAUGAGCGCAAAGUAGCGCGCAGACCCGCUGGGGCCGCGGCCGCCCGCCGCAGGCAGCAGCAGCAACAGCAGCAGCAGCAGCAACAGCAGCAACAGCAGCAGCAGCAGCAACAGCAGCAGCAGCAGCAGCAGCAGCAGCAGUCCUCACCCUCUGCCUCCACUGCCCAGACUGCCCAGCUGCAGCCGAACCUGGUAUCUGCUUCCGCGGCCGUGCUUCUCACCCUUCAGGCCACUGUAGACAGCAGUCAGGCUCCGGGAUCCGUACAGCCGGCGCCCAUCACUCCCACUGGAGAAGACGUGAAGCCCAUCGAUCUCACAGUGCAAGUGGAGUUUGCAGCCG
rnacentral:lncRNA from 10 species